rnacentral:lncRNA from 1 species
CUUCUCUGCCUCCUCACGGCUCAUGGCGAGGGCCAGCUGCAGCUGCAGUUCCUCUUCCCCUGACGUCUGAGGCCGGGCCUGCUCCAGGUCGGAGGUAUAGCGGGGUGACGAAGAGGAGGCUGCAAUGACCAUCAUGUCUCUGUGACCACACGAUUACCCAUCGGCUCCCACACCCCUCUGCCUGCCAGGAAGCUGAGGCUCAAGAGAACUGAGAGGAGGGGAACAACGGCCGUUGAGGCCCCCGUGGGCCAAGCAGUGUGCCAGGCACUCUAUCAAACAAUGGAGGUAGGUGAGCUUAUCCCCACUGUACAGAUGAGGAAACUGAGGUUCAGAGAACUGGUUGCCCAGGUCACACAGCUUGGAGGAAGCAGAAUAUAGAAUGCUAUCUGACUCCAAACCCAUGCUUCCACUAUCGCGCCAUCCUAUCAGGCAGCUAACGAAUGAUAAUGAAUCUAUAACAACGUUAUUAUCUGAGCUAA